rnacentral:rRNA from 1 species
UUGGAACGCGCCCCGGCGCACCCAGAAACCCUUUGUGAACUUAUACCUUAUUGUUGCUCGGCGAAGGCCGGCCUCUCUUCUGAGGCCCCCCGGAGACGGGGAGCAGCCCGCCGGCGGCCAACCAAACUCUUGUUUCUUAGUGAAUCUCUGAGUAAAAAACAUAAAUGAAUCAAAACUUUCAACAACGGAUCUCUUGGUUCUGGCAUCGAUGAAGAACGCAGCGAAAUGCGAUAAGUAAUGUGAAUUGCAGAAUUCAGUGAAUCAUCGAAUCUUUGAACGCACAUUGCGCCCUCUGGUAUUCCGGAGGGCAUGCCUGUUCGAGCGUCAUUUCAACCCUCAAGCCUGGCUUGGUGUUGGGGCACUGCUUCGAGAGAAGCAGGCCCUGAAAUCUAGUGGCGAGCUCGCUAGGACCCCGAGCGUAGUAGUUAUAUCUCGUUCUGGAAGGCCCUGGCGGUGCCCUGCCGUUAAACCCCCAACUUCUGAAAUUUUGACCUCG